GGUUAAGCGACUAAGCGUACACGGUGGAUGCCCUGGCAGUCAGAGGCGAUGAAGGACGUGCUAAUCUGCGAUAAGCGUCGGUAAGGUGAUAUGAACCGUUAUAACCGGCGAUUUCCGAAUGGGGAAACCCAGUGUGUUUCGACACACUAUCAUUAACUGAAUCCAUAGGUUAAUGAGGCGAACCGGGGGAACUGAAACAUCUAAGUACCCCGAGGAAAAGAAAUCAACCGAGAUUCCCCCAGUAGCGGCGAGCGAACGGGGAGCAGCCCAGAGCCUGAAUCAGUGUGUGUGUUAGUGGAAGCGUCUGGAAAGGCGCGCGAUACAGGGUGACAGCCCCGUACACAAAAAUGCACAUGCUGUGAGCUCGAUGAGUAGGGCGGGACACGUGGUAUCCUGUCUGAAUAUGGGGGGACCAUCCUCCAAGGCUAAAUACUCCUGACUGACCGAUAGUGAACCAGUACCGUGAGGGAAAGGCGAAAAGAACCCCGGCGAGGGGAGUGAAAAAGAACCUGAAACCGUGUACGUACAAGCAGUGGGAGCACGCUUAGGCGUGUGACUGCGUACCUUUUGUAUAAUGGGUCAGCGACUUAUAUUCUGUAGCAAGGUUAACCGAAUAGGGGAGCCGAAGGGAAACCGAGUCUUAACUGGGCGUUAAGUUGCAGGGUAUAGACCCGAAACCCGGUGAUCUAGCCAUGGGCAGGUUGAAGGUUGGGUAACACUAACUGGAGGACCGAACCGACUAAUGUUGAAAAAUUAGCGGAUGACUUGUGGCUGGGGGUGAAAGGCCAAUCAAACCGGGAGAUAGCUGGUUCUCCCCGAAAGCUAUUUAGGUAGCGCCUCGUGAAUUCAUCUCCGGGGGUAGAGCACUGUUUCGGCAAGGGGGUCAUCCCGACUUACCAACCCGAUGCAAACUGCGAAUACCGGAGAAUGUUAUCACGGGAGACACACGGCGGGUGCUAACGUCCGUCGUGAAGAGGGAAACAACCCAGACCGCCAGCUAAGGUCCCAAAGUCAUGGUUAAGUGGGAAACGAUGUGGGAAGGCCCAGACAGCCAGGAUGUUGGCUUAGAAGCAGCCAUCAUUUAAAGAAAGCGUAAUAGCUCACUGGUCGAGUCGGCCUGCGCGGAAGAUGUAACGGGGCUAAACCAUGCACCGAAGCUGCGGCAGCGACGCUGAUGCGUUGUUGGGUAGGGGAGCGUUCUGUAAGCCUGCGAAGGUGUGCUGUGAGGCAUGCUGGAGGUAUCAGAAGUGCGAAUGCUGACAUAAGUAACGAUAAAGCGGGUGAAAAGCCCGCUCGCCGGAAGACCAAGGGUUCCUGUCCAACGUUAAUCGGGGCAGGGUGAGUCGACCCCUAAGGCGAGGCCGAAAGGCGUAGUCGAUGGGAAACAGGUUAAUAUUCCUGUACUUGGUGUUACUGCGAAGGGGGGACGGAGAAGGCUAUGUUGGCCGGGCGACGGUUGUCCCGGUUUAAGCGUGUAGGCUGGUUUUCCAGGCAAAUCCGGAAAAUCAAGGCUGAGGCGUGAUGACGAGGCACUACGGUGCUGAAGCAACAAAUGCCCUGCUUCCAGGAAAAGCCUCUAAGCAUCAGGUAACAUCAAAUCGUACCCCAAACCGACACAGGUGGUCAGGUAGAGAAUACCAAGGCGCUUGAGAGAACUCGGGUGAAGGAACUAGGCAAAAUGGUGCCGUAACUUCGGGAGAAGGCACGCUGAUAUGUAGGUGAAGUCCCUUGCGGAUGGAGCUGAAAUCAGUCGAAGAUACCAGCUGGCUGCAACUGUUUAUUAAAAACACAGCACUGUGCAAACACGAAAGUGGACGUAUACGGUGUGACGCCUGCCCGGUGCCGGAAGGUUAAUUGAUGGGGUCAGCGCAAGCGAAGCUCUUGAUCGAAGCCCCGGUAAACGGCGGCCGUAACUAUAACGGUCCUAAGGUAGCGAAAUUCCUUGUCGGGUAAGUUCCGACCUGCACGAAUGGCGUAAUGAUGGCCAGGCUGUCUCCACCCGAGACUCAGUGAAAUUGAACUCGCUGUGAAGAUGCAGUGUACCCGCGGCAAGACGGAAAGACCCCGUGAACCUUUACUAUAGCUUGACACUGAACAUUGAGCCUUGAUGUGUAGGAUAGGUGGGAGGCUUGGAAGUGUGGACGCCAGUCUGCAUGGAGCCGACCUUGAAAUACCACCCUUUAAUGUUUGAUGUUCUAACGUUGACCCGUAAUCCGGGUUGCGGACAGUGUCUGGUGGGUAGUUUGACUGGGGCGGUCUCCUCCUAAAGAGUAACGGAGGAGCACGAAGGUUGGCUAAUCCUGGUCGGACAUCAGGAGGUUAGUGCAAUGGCAUAAGCCAGCUUGACUGCGAGCGUGACGGCGCGAGCAGGUGCGAAAGCAGGUCAUAGUGAUCCGGUGGUUCUGAAUGGAAGGGCCAUCGCUCAACGGAUAAAAGGUACUCCGGGGAUAACAGGCUGAUACCGCCCAAGAGUUCAUAUCGACGGCGGUGUUUGGCACCUCGAUGUCGGCUCAUCACAUCCUGGGGCUGAAGUAGGUCCCAAGGGUAUGGCUGUUCGCCAUUUAAAGUGGUACGCGAGCUGGGUUUAGAACGUCGUGAGACAGUUCGGUCCCUAUCUGCCGUGGGCGCUGGAGAACUGAGGGGGGCUGCUCCUAGUACGAGAGGACCGGAGUGGACGCAUCACUGGUGUUCGGGUUGUCAUGCCAAUGGCACUGCCCGGUAGCUAAAUGCGGAAGAGAUAAGUGCUGAAAGCAUCUAAGCACGAAACUUGCCCCGAGAUGAGUUCUCCCUGAC
rnacentral:rRNA from 1 species